UUUCCGUAGGUGAACCUGCGGAAGGAGCAUUACUGAGUGAUGGCCCUCUGGGUCCAACCUCCCACCCGUGUUUAUUGUACCUUGUUGCUUCGGUGAGCCCUCCUCACGGCCGCCGGGGGGCAUCUGCCCCCGGGCCCGCGAGCGCCGAAGACACCCUUGAACACUGUCUGAAGUUUGCAGUCUGAGCGAAAACUAAAUUAGUUAAAACUUUCAACAACGGAUCUCUUGGUUCCG
rnacentral:misc_RNA from 1 species